CCAAGGAGUUUAGCGUGUACGCGAGUCAUUGGGUGACUAAACUCAAAGGCGGAAUGAAAGUGAAGGAUAGCUUGCUAUCCGAGGGAGGAUGGGGUUGAGUCCUUUCCAAGGACUUCCUCGCACUCCUGGGGCGUCUCCAUCUCAUCACGAGAGGAGGCGCACCUAGAGCGUACACGCUGAUACCCGAAAGAUGGUGAACUAUGCCUGGCCAGGACGAAGCCAGGGGAAACCCUGGUGGAGGUCCGCAGCGAUUCUGACGUGCAAAUCGAUCGUCGGAGCUGGGUUUAGGGGCGAAAGACCAAUCGAACCAUCUAGUAGCUGGUUCCCUCUGAAGUUUCCCUCAGGAUAGCUUGCGCUCAAUAUUGACGAGUCUCAUCCGGUAGAGCGAAUGAUUAGAGGCCUUGGGGUCGAAACGACCUCAACCUAUUCUCAAACUCCAAAUAGAUGAGAACCCCCGCUUUCUUGAAAUUUAUUUCUAUGAAGCCGGGGGCUCGGAUCAGAGUGCCAAGUGGGCCAAUUUU
rnacentral:rRNA from 1 species